AACGAACGCUGGCGGCAUGCCUAACACAUGCAAGUCGAACGAGACCUUCGGGUCUGGUGGCGCAGGGGUGCGUAAGGCGGGGUAACCUGCCCUUAGGUUCGGAAUAACUGCCCGAAAGGGGUGCUAAUACCGGAUAAUGUCUUCGGACCAAAGGUUUAUCGCCUUGGGAUGGGCCCGCGUUGGAUUAGCUAGUUGGUAGGGUAAAAGCCUACCAAGGCGACGAUCCAUAGCUGGUCUGAGAGGAUGAUCAGCGACACUGGGACUGAGACACGGCCCAGACUCCUACGGGAGGCAGCAGUGGGGAAUAUUGGACAAUGGGCGAAAGCCUGAUCCAGCAAUGCCGCGUGAGUGAUGAAGGCCUUAGCGUUGUAAAGUUCUUUUACCCGGGAUGAUAAUGACAGUACCGGGAGAAUAAGCUCCGGCUAACUCCGUG
rnacentral:rRNA from 1 species